CCUACGGGAGGCAGCAGUGGGGAAUAUUGCACAAUGGGGGAAACCCUGAUGCAGCGACGCCGCGUGAGCGAGGAAGUAUUUCGGUAUGUAAAGCUCUAUCAGCAGGGACGAAAAAAGACGGUACCUGACUAAGAAGCCACGGAUAACUACGUGACAGCAGCCGGGGUAAUACGUAGGGGGCAAGCAUUAUCCGGAUUUACUGGGUGGAAAGGGAGCGGAGAAGGGAAGGGAAGUCAGGAGGUAAAGGGCAGGGCUCAACCCUGUACAUGCUUGUGGAACUGUGGUGCUAGAGUGGAGGAGUGGUAAGUGGAAUUCCUAGUGUAGCGGUGAAAUGCGUAGAUAUUAGGAGGAACACCAGUGGCGAAGGCGGCUUACUGGACUGUAACUGACGUUGAGGCUCGAAAGCGUGGGGAGCAAACAGGAUUAGAUACCCUGGUAGUC
rnacentral:rRNA from 1 species